rnacentral:rRNA from 1 species
GACGAACGCUGGCGGCGUGCUUAACACAUGCAAGUCGAACGAUGAAGCCCAGCUUGCUGGGUGGAAGAGUGGCGAACGGGUGAGUAACACGUGAGUAACCUGCACCUGACUCUGGGAUAAGCGCUAGAAAUGGCGUCUAAUACUGGAUAUGACCUAUCACCGCAUGGUGUGUAGGUGGAAAGAUUUAUCGGUUGGGGAUGGACUCGCGGCCUAUCAGCUUGUUGGUGAGGUAAUGGCUCACCAAGGCGACGACGGGUAGCCGGCCUGAGAGGGUGACCGGCCACCCUGGGACUGAGACACGGCCCCGACUCCUACGGGAGGCAGCAGUGGGGAAUACUGCACAAUGGGCGCAAGCCUGAUGCAGCAACGCCGCGUGAGGGAUGACGGCCUUCGGGUUGUAAACCUCUUUUAGUAGGGAAGAAGCGCAAGUGACGGUACCUGCAGAAAAAGCACCGGCUAACUACGUGCCAGCAGCCGCCGUAA